rnacentral:snoRNA from 1 species
CUCCGAUGAUGAUCCCGCCAUGCUAAUACCAAUGCACCAGACUGACGGUGUGUCUCUCUCUGGGUGCAAGUGAGUUAGCCUCACCUUCUCAUACUGACUGGAUC